GGGGCAAGCGUUGUCCGGACUUACUGGGCGUAAAGCGUGCGUAGGCGGCAGGGUGCGUCGGUGCUGAAAGCGCCCCGCUUAACGGGGCGAGGGGUACCGAUACGACCCCGCUCGAGGCAGUCAGAGGUUGGUAGAAUUCCGGGUGUAGUUGUGAAAUGCGUAGAUACCCGGAGGAAUGCCGGUGGCGAAAGCGACCAACUGGGGCUGGCCUGACGCUGAGGCACGAAAGCGUGGGGAGCGAACCGGAUUAGAUACCCGGGUAGUCCACGCCGUAAACGAUGUCGGCUUGGUGUUCGGCAGUAUGAAAGUGCUGCUGAGUGCCGAAGCUCACGCGCUAAGCCGACCGCCUGGGGACUACGAGCGCAAGCUUAAAACUCAAAGGAAUUGACGGGGGCCCGCACAAGCAGCGGAGCGUGUGGUUUAAUUCGACGCAACGCGAAGAACCUUACCCAGGUUUGACAUGUGGCUGCAAGCGCACAGAAAUGUGUGACCUUCGAGGGUGCCACACAGGUGCUGCAUGGCUGUCGUCAGCUCGUGUCGUGAGAUGUUGGGUUAAGUCCCGCAUCGAGCGCAACCCCUGCUGCCAGUUACUGGUGUCUGGUGGGACUGCCUUCGCUAAUGGAGGAGGAAGGCGGGGAUGACGUCAAGUCCGCAUGGCCCUUACACCUGGGGCGACACACACGCUACAAUGGCCAGCACAAUGCGUCGCAAGCACGCAAGUGUUAGCUAAUCGCCGAAAGCUGGUCUCAGUACAGAUCGGGGGCUGCAACUCGCCCCCGUGAAGGUGGAGUUGCUAGUAACCG
rnacentral:rRNA from 1 species